GAGUUUGAUCCUGGCUCAGGACGAACGCUGGCGGCGUGCUUAACACAUGCAAGUCGAACGAUGAAGCCUUUCGGGGUGGAUUAGUGGCGAACGGGUGAGUAACACGUGGGCAAUCUGCCCUUCACUCUGGGACAAGCCCUGGAAACGGGGUCUAAUACCGGAUAACACUCCUGCCUGCAUGGGUGGGGGUUAAAAGCUCCGGCGGUGAAGGAUGAGCCCGCGGCCUAUCAGCUUGUUGGUGGGGUAAUGGCCCACCAAGGCGACGACGGGUAGCCGGCCUGAGAGGGCGACCGGCCACACUGGGACUGAGACACGGCCCAGACUCCUACAGGAGGCAGCAGUGGGGAAUAUUGCACAAUGGGCGAAAGCCUGAUGCAGCGACGCCGCGUGAGGGAUGACGGCCUUCCGGUUGUAAACCUCUUUCAGCAGGGAAGAAGCGAAAGUGACGGUACCUGCAGAAGAAGCGCCGGCUAACUACGUGCCAGCAGCCGCGGUAAUACCUAAGGCGCAAGCGUUGUCCGGAAUUAUUGGGCGUAAAGAACUCGUAAGCGGCUUGUCACGUCGGAUGUGAAACCCGAGCUUAACCUCCGGUCUGCCUUCAUCCGGGCUUACUUAGAGUGUGGUAAGGGAAAUUCGGAAUUCCCUGGUGUACCGGUGAAAUGGCCAAAUUCCCGGAGGAACACCGGUGGCCAAGGGGGAUCUCCUGGGCCCUUUAAGGCCCUUAAGAACCAAAACCUGGGGA
rnacentral:rRNA from 1 species